AUUGAACGCUGGCGGUAGGCCUAACACAUGCAAGUCGAACGAGUGGCGGACGGGUGAGUAAUGUCUGGGAAACUGCCUGAUGGAGGGGGAUAACUACUGGAAACGGUAGCCAAUACCGCAUACCAUCGGAUGUGCCCAGAUGGGAUUAGCUAGUAGGUGGGGUAAAGGCUCACCUAGGCGACGAUCCCUAGCUGGUCUGAGAGGAUGACCGGCCACACUGGAACUGAGGAACGGUCUAGACUCCUACGGGAGGCACGAGUGGGGACUAUUGCACAAUGGGCGCAAGCCUGAUGCAGCCAUGCCGCUUGUAUGAAGCAGGCCUUGGGGUUGUAAAGUACUUUCAGCGGGGAUGCGGGACCCGCAGCAGACGCACCGGCUAACUCCGUGCCAGCAGCCGCGGUAAUAC
rnacentral:rRNA from 1 species